GAUCGGGGGACAGCCUCGGGUAUUAAUUUGUGCAGAACUAGAGAUAUCGAGGAUAUAUCCAGCGUUGUUCGAAAACGAGGUUCCAACAGAUCAAAAAAAGAAUGCAAAAUAAGAUUCCGUCCAAGAGUGAUCAGAUGCAAGCACGCAAGCUCAAAAACAAACAUUUUGGAAACAAAAUGACGAAGCGCGGAAUUAUGCAAAAAUUGAAAGAGAAGGAAACCCUAGGGAAAUACAUUGUUGGGUUGCUACUCUUCGUUGUCAUAGGCUCCGCCCUGAUAGAACUAGUGAUUCGCAUCUAGCAAGAUUGAAAUUUUGCCCGAAUCACCUGCGUAAACUGUCUACCCUUAGUCAAAACAAUACAUCAAAU